AUGUAUUCACCUUAAUGCACUUGUUAAAGUCUGUCUUUGUUAUUCCAGGGGUUAGCUGCAGCCAUUGUGAGAAAGGUUCUGAUUGAAAUAAGAAAGUCCCCGUGGUUACAACAGAAGACAAUCGGUUAUAAGCUUGCAGCCUGGGAUGAGUUCCAACAAAUUCUUCGUUACCAUAUAAAUGCAUUGGCCAUGUGUGUAAGUUGUACAGCACUGCUGAAUAUGCU